GUGGGGAAUAUUGGACAAUGGGCGCAAGCCUGAUCCAGCAAUGCCGCGUGGGUGAAGAAGGCCUUCGGGUUGUAAAGCCCUUUUGUACGGAAAGAAAUCCUGGUGGUUAAUACCCGCCGGGGAUGACGGUACCGUAAGAAUAAGCACCGGCUAACUUCGUGCCAGCAGCCGCGGUAAUACGAAGGGUGCAAGCGUUAAUCGGAAUUACUGGGCGUAAAGCGUGCGUAGGUGGUUUCUUAAGUCUGUCGUGAAAGCCCUGGGCUCAACCUGGGGAUGGCGAUGGAUACUGGGAGGCUAGAGUGCGGUAGAGGAUGGCGGAAUUCCCGGUGUAGCGGUGAAAUGCGUAGAGAUCGGGAGGAACAUCUGUGGCGAAGGCGGCCAUCUGGACCAGCACUGACACUGAGGCACGAAAGCGUGGGGAGCAAACAGGAUUAGAAACCCUGGUAGUCC
rnacentral:rRNA from 1 species